rnacentral:ncRNA from 29 species
UAUUUUUGAGGUCAGAAAAGGUUCCUGACGCACUCUGAAAAGAGUACCUGAGAUGAUGGAUACACCGCCCAUCCAAAAAUA